rnacentral:RNase_P_RNA from 1 species
GCAGCCGGCCGGUCUGUCGCUCAUCCCCCUGCGGGGACGGGAGGAAAGUCCGGGCAACACAGGGCGCCAUCCUUCUUAACGGGAAGCUAUCCGCGAGGGUAGAGCAGCGUAACAGAAAAGAACCGCCAUGCUCCGGCAUGGUAAGGGUGAAAAGGUGAGGUAAGAGCUUACCGCUUCUGCCGUAAUGCAGGGGGUCAGUACGCCUGAUGGGUUGUAAGGUCAUGUAUACCGACGCAUGUAGGGCGGCCCGCCCGAUGUCGGGGGGUAGACCGCAGAGAAUUUGCCGGCGACGGCAAAUCCAGAUAAAUGACAGACGCAUCCGCGUUGAAAGGCGGGGAUGUACAGAACCCGGCUUACAGGCCGGCUGCCUCU